CCAAUAGCGUAUAUUAAAGUUGUUGCAGUUAAAAAGCUCGUAGUUGAAUUUCGGGAUUAGUGCGCUGGUCAUGCCUUUGGUAUGUACUGGUGUUACUGAUUCCUACCUUCUGAAGAACCGUUAUGUCAUUCAUUUGGUGUGGCGGGGCAUCAGGACUGUUACUUUGAAAAAAUUAGAGUGUUUAAAGCAGGCUCGGGCUUGACUACCUGAGCAUGGAAUAAUGAAAUAGGACGUUUGACCCUAUUUUGUUGGUUUCUAGGAUCGACGUAAUGAUUAAUAGGGAUAGUUGGGGGCAUUAGUAUUCAAUUGUCAGAGGUGAAAUUCUUGGAUUUAUUGAAGACUAACUACUGCGAAAGCAUUUGCCAAGGAUGUUUUCAUUAAUCAAGAACGAAAGUUAGGGGAUCGAAGACGAUCAGAUACCGUCGUAGUCUUAACCAUAAACUAUGCCGACUAGGGAUCGGAUGAUGUUAAUUUUUUAAUGACUCAUUCGGCGCCUUACG
rnacentral:rRNA from 1 species